AUGCUCCGCCGUCCGAAUCCGGCUGCCGCGCCCGUCUCGCUCGCCGUGGCCGAUGAUCGCGUCGCCCGGGAUCGCGUCCCUCCUCAAACGGCGGCGAUGAUGCAGAGCGCCGCCCAGCUCUUGACCGACGGACUCGCCGGGUUCCCGCUCCUUGGGGCCAGCCCCUCCCCCAUGCCGGAUCGCGCAUCGGCUUGGAGGCCCCUCGGGGCUGCCGCCGGUGCGGGAGUCUUGCGUGGCCGUUCGGGCUUGGGGACGGAGCGGCAGGGCCCGUGGUGCGUUCUUGUCGAGGGCUUGCUCGGGCUGGCCGGGAUCUGA
rnacentral:rRNA from 1 species